UGGACGUGGGCCCAUGGCCUGACACAAGCCAGGCCCAGGAGCUGCGCGUCCUCUUUAGCCAAGAGCGGCCUCCUGCUGAGCCUGGGCCAGGCUCCCUGAAUCACAGAGGGGAGCCGGAGGAACUGGGGGAAAGGCCUGGUAGGCGAUGGUGCCCAGAGCCCUGCCAACUGAGGCUUGGGGCACGCAUGACCAACAGCACACAGCAGCGCUGGGGGCCUGAAACCCCAGGCCCUGCUGGCCCGAGGGGGCUGAUCAGCUAUGCUCUGUCUUUUCCAUUUCAGUCACUACCAGGAGAGGAGGGUAAGUGUCCCUUGUCCCAUUUCCCAGCUGGAAGCCCUGAGGCCGGGUAGGAGCUUAGAGGGAUAGAAGACAGGCUGGGGGAGGGGGGCGGCGGUGAACCCUGCAGGGUGUCGGGCUUCUACUUCUUAUGCUUUCCCAGGACCCAGGUGUCCAUCAACUGUACACCCGUCCUGCCAGCUUGAGGUGGCAACCCUUCACCCACACUCCCCCGCCAGCCUCCAGUCCCUUUAUUAUGCAGAGGAGAUGCCCCAGGAGCCCGGCACACCACAGCAGAGCACAGCAGGACAGGACAGGCUGGUGCCUCUGGCAGAGGUGGGCUAGGGGCCAAGUGGGUUGAAGAAUGGGCAGGUGGGGGCGGCUACAGCUUUUCCUGCCCCUGCCCAUGAGCCUAGCCUGCUCACCUGGCAUGAGGCCAGGUAAGGCCUAGGGGUAGAGGAAGAGGGAGGUGGACACUGCAGGAUGCCCCCUCAUGCUCAAAGCCCCAGGCACCCCCAUAGGAGCUAGAAGUUCAGGGUACCUGGACUGGAUAGAGGCUUGUACUCCCAAGGGGUCCCCUAGGUAGGAACUGGGGUACCCCCAUUAUCCCCAGUGCUCUCCCUACCUUAAUUCUAAUUUGGCUUGAAGCAGUUCUUUCCUGGUGGGAAAAUUCGGAUGGAAAAAUUCCAACAUCUACCUACCUGAAGGAACUGGGGGAAAGGCCCGAUAGGCAGUAGCACCCAGAAUCUUGCCAACUGAGGCUCAGGGCACGCUUCCCCAAAUUCCCACAGGAGAAGAGCAGAAGCUUCGGGCAGGGAGACAAGAAUCCCCUCCUGCACUCUAACCCUGUCCACCCCACCCCCGGGUCUGCUCCUUAGAAUGUACCCACUUCUGUUUGGGGCAGGGGCUUUCGAAGACAGAAUUGAACUGAGUCAGGGCCUCCACUUCGCCACCAAUAUUUAUGGUGUCACUUAGAAGACAGUCUCCGAGCUGGAACUGGGAUGUUGCACAGAGGAAGGCUCCUGGCUGGGAGGGAGGGUAUCUGCAGGGGAAGGGAAUUCAGAUGAGGAACAAGAUGGGAGCUGCCCAGGGGGACUGGGGGAGCCUGGGAGGGAAGGCUGGCCCAGUGUUCAGGGGAGGGGGCAGCUUGAGAGGGCUUCUGGAGGAAGACUCCCGGGCUGAGAGGGCUCUGCCAGAGCAAGGAUCAGAUACAAUUCCAGGGUGACUGCAGGAGAAAGGGACUCCAAGGCCUGUCAGUGCUCCAAGAAGCAGGAAGUGGGGGCUAGGAAUGGGGGGGGACAGAAAAGCAAGAGCUAUAGGGGCAAUGGGAGUUAGGGCAGGGAUGAGUCAGAUGUCCCCACAGGGGCCAGUGAGGAAACAGCUGAACAGUCACCAGGCCUGAGGGAGAAAUGAGGACAGCAGCUCUCACCGUGCAUAUAGGGAAGGAGCGUGACAGUCCUCACUCCACCCAUCUUUCUUAGAGAAUCAGGUAAGUCAAAGUCCCUCAACUGUGGUUGUACUUCUCCCAUGGGGUAGUUUGGAAACCUGAGGGAAACUUUGGUUGUGAGAAUGGGGAUAUUCUUAGUCCAUUUUCUGUGGCUAUGACAAAAUACCUGAGACUGGUUAAUUGAUAAAGAAUGGAGGUUUGUUUAGCUCAUGAUUCUGGAGUCUGGGAAGUCCAAUAUCAGGGUUCUUGCAUCUGGUGAGGGCCUCCUUGCUACAUUCUAACAUGGCAGAAGGCAUCAAAAUAGCAAGGCAGAGCAUGGAGCCAGAGAGAACUUAUUCUUGUAAUAAAGUCACUCACCUCCCAAAGGGCCACCUCUUAAAAACCACUAACAUAUGACUUUGGGGAUUAAGUUUCCAACACAUAAAUUUUGGGGAAACAUUUUCAAAUCAUAGCAGACUUCUAUAGACAUUGGGUGGUGGGGACCUGAGAUACAGGGGUGUCCUGUAUCCCACAUGGCAUCCAAAUAUUCUACUGACAUUUGUCUAGGUCAGUGGUUCCCAAUAAUGAGCAGUUCCGCCUCUCAAAGGACAUUUAACAAUGUCUAGAGACACUUGCUUGCUAUCUACUGGGGCGUGCUAUUGACAGUUAGUGGAUAGAGGCCACAGAUGCUGCCAGGCAUCCAACAUUGCACCUUUACUCAGCCCAACAUGUCCAUAGUGCUGAGGAUUCUGGGUAGGUGAAAACCCUACUGGUAAUAACCAGAGCCAGGAACUAUUAGUUACCUUUCCAUCAAUGUGACUAAACACCUGAGAUAAUCAACUUAAAAAGAGGAAAGGUUGAUUUGACUCACAAUUUCAGAGGUUUCGUCUCUUGGUCUUGUUGCUUUGGGCCAGUGGGGCACAGUACGUCAUGUCAGGAGCACAUGCUAAGGGAGGUCUGUUCACAUAAUGGCAGUCAGGAAGCGGGAGAGACAGACAGACAGACAGGAGGGGCUAGGGUUCCAAUGUCUCCUUCAAGGACACAUCCCAAUUACCUAACUUCCUUCCACUAGGCCCCACCUCCUAAAGGUCCUACCUCUCCCAUUAGUGCUAGGGCUGGAGACAAAGCCUUUCACGCUUAGCCUUGGGGGACACUUAUCCAAACUAUAAUAAGAACCUACUUCUGUCUUACAGUUUCCAAAUACAGAAUUUCCCAGGGAGUCAACAAACAAUCAAGCGGAGGUGGAGCCCGAUUUGUUCAGAAAUUGACCAAGAUAUGUUUGCAGUCUUGGAAAAACACAUCCCUAAAAUGACUCUGUGGCUCAGGCAGAUACCUGAGCCUAGAAGGAUGCUCCCACCCCUACCUGUGACUGUUGCAGCUGCAGCCUUGACCCCAUGACCAGCCUCUGAAUCCUCUGUAGAUUGUACCCAAGCAUUUCUC
rnacentral:lncRNA from 1 species